AAGGAAGAUAAUGACGGUACUUGAGGAGGAAGCCCCGGCUAACUACGUGCCAGCAGCCGCGGUAAUACGUAGGGGGCUAGCGUUAUCCGGAUUUACUGGGCGUAAAGGGGGCGUAGGCGGUCUUUCAAGUCAGGAGUGAAAGGCUACGGCUCAACCGUAGUAAGCUCUUGAAACUGGGAGACUUGAGUGCAGGAGAGGAGAGUGGA
rnacentral:rRNA from 1 species